GGGCCCGCACAAGCGGUGGAGUAUGUGGUUUAAUUCGAUGCAACGCGAAGAACCUUACCAGGGUUUGACAUCCUGCGAAUCUCUUGGAAACAAGAGGGUGCCCUCUCACGAGGGAAUUGAGUGACAGGUGCUGCAUGGCUGUCGUCAGCUCGUGCUGUGAGGUGUUCGGUUAAGUCCGGCAACGAGCGCAACCCCUGUCGCUAGUUACCAGCAUUUAGUUGGGGACUCUAGCGAGACUGCCGGUGAUAAACCGGAGGAAGGUGGGGACGACGUCAAGUCCUCAUGGCCCUUAUGUCUGGGGCUACACACGUGCUACAAUGGCAUCUACAGAAGGCAGCGAAGUCGCAAGGCGGAGCAAAUCCUCAAAAGAUGCCUCAGUUCGGAUUGGAGUCUGCAACUCGACUCCAUGAAGCUGGAAUCGCUAGUAAUCGC
rnacentral:rRNA from 1 species